AAAAGAGAAAAAAUACAGACUGGCUGAAGCCAAAAUAAAGCUAUGGGCUCACAUAACUGAAAAUUCCAGGGAUAAUUUCACAUCAGACACAGUUAGGUCCUGGGGUUCAAAGAGUGUUCUCAGAAUCCAGUCUCCUUGUAGUCAUCUCUUGUCUUUGUGUUCCUCUGUCUUGGCUCCUUUCACAGAUAGAUUGUACCCCCACUCUGACUAUAUGGCUGCCUACAGCUCCAAGCUUCCACUCUAUCCUCUUACCAAUCCGCAGUGGAAAUAACUUGCAUCUUUUCCUAAAGUUCCAAUAAAAAUCCUAGAAUUGGGUCUAAUUGCUUUUGAUGAUCUUGGCUUGGGCUAUGUCUCUGGCGGGGUGGAGUCAACCCCACUGAAACCACAUGAACUCGGAGAAGGAACCUGCAAUUCCCUCUGUUGAGUCAGGGUGCUUUUAUUAGAGAAAGGGCAAGUGAUCCCUGGGAAAAUGAAAAUGAUCAAUCUCUGAUAUGCAGAUAAUUUGGGAACAAAC
rnacentral:lncRNA from 1 species